rnacentral:tRNA from 1 species
ACCUGGGUGGCUCAGUCGGUUGAGUGUCUGACUUUAGCUCAGGUAAUGACCUCACCUCACAGUCUGUGGGUUCAAGCCCCAUGUUAGGCU